rnacentral:tRNA from 1 species
GCAUCGGUGGUUCAGUGGUAGAAUACUCGCCUGCCACGCGGGUGGCCUGGGUUCGAUUCCCGGCCGAUGCA